rnacentral:lncRNA from 1 species
AGGGUUGGAAUUCUGCUUUCCUAUGUUGAUUUUGCACAGUACACUAACUCAAAUUGGCACGGCGCUGCAGGUAGCCUAGUGGUUAGAGCGUUGAUCUAGUAACCGGAAGAUCGAAUUCCCGAGCUGACAAGGUUCAAAUCUGUUGUUCUGCCCCUGAACAAGGCAGUUAACCCCUGAGUUAACCCCUGUUCCUAUACCGCCAUUGAAAAUAAGAAUUUGUUAUUUAACUGACUUGCCUAGUUAAAUGAAGUUAAAAUAUAUUUUUUAAAGUGUACGCAGAAGAAUUUGUCCAACGGUGUCCAGUAGAUAUGUCACAUGCCAAACUGAACAGAGCCUUCCUCCAUUUUUGUGAGGUAAGGAAAAUAACUUGCUGUCCUUUCAAUCCAAUUAUACAAUCACUAUCUUGUAUUACGCUUACAAGCGGAGAUUUUUUUUUAAACGCAAUGUGUUUCCAGCAACACUUUCAACUAAAUGGCAAUAAUGUUAGACAUAUGCAUGUUUCGAAAAUAUGGAUAUACCAGAUCAGUUAUCAGCCAGUUAUUGGUUUGUCAGUCAAUUGGCCUUUAUAAAUCAAUAUCAGAUUAAUGGAACAAAUGUUUGUUAUGAUAACAUUUUGUUUGUAUUAUAACAACAUAAUAGUUUGAUCCCAAAUUUUUUUAUUUGGACUGAACUAGGUGCCGGUACUCUUUUUAUGUGCCGGUAUUGUUUUACAUUAAGGUUCAGGAGCUCCAUAUAACUUUUGAGCUAAUGCUCUUAAAGAGGCACAUGAGCUCAAGCAUCCGGUGAGUUCCUGCCCAAGUCAAGUACUGCACACGGGUCAAUUAUUUCCUCUGAGAAAGUGUGAUUUGUUGUAUUCUCAGAUAUCCAGAUCGAAGGGGAAAAUUAUAGCGAACCAUGACAAUUUCUAUAUUACAUCUUGUCAAACUCGGGAAUGAUCUUUCGCGGUUUAAACUGUUCAGCGUUGAUUCGUUCCACGCGGAACUGAAACAAAGACAUGUCUUAGGGGGAGAUACCACACCCGGAAGCAACAUGCGUGUUUCCCACAACAACACGUGGUUUGUAAAACAUAUAAAUUCGCCCCCAGUCCCCUCAAUCAGUCUUUCUCACCUACUGCGGUUGGAGGAGAAGUGUACAUCAGCACAUGUGGACGAUUUCGCCAUAAACUACCAAUUGAUUAAUUUUGACAGUAAUGUGAACUGCCAUUGUAGGACUGACCACUGCGUCCAUUCAACCCCUGGAUCUUCAGAUCUGUAAUCUAGUUUGAGGUCAAAUUAAUGUAUAUCUAAUGACUAUGUAUAUACUCUACAGUUGCUAACCAGAUGCGUUUUGUCUGCGGCACUAUCGAACUGGUUCAAAAUUGUACAAAAUGUUACUUUUGGUUCAAAGUGUUCAAUAAAUGCAGUGAAUGUUAACUGUUUAUCAUUUAUGGAAUGUCAUUGGCAGUUGUAACUGUUAAUACAUCCUUUACUUCAGCUGUUGCCUGCAAAGACAUAAAGCCUAGGUAUAUGUUCUCUUUUCCGGGGAAAGGGAUACCUAGUAAGUUCUGCAACAAUGCGUUCAACUGAAAUGUGUAAUUUGCCUUUAACCGAAUCCCCCUGAAUCAGGUGUAAUGGUCUAGGCUACAGGUGGAAUAAUGCCUUUUAAAGUCACUCAACUGUAUGCCUACUUUCAUCUAGCAGACACGGACAAGUGGUUAAGAAAUGUUUAACUACGUGGUCCUAGGAAUUUGUAUUUAACUAGGCACGUCAGUUAACCAUUUAAUUUACAACUACUGCUUAACCCGGAAGACGCUGGGCCAAUUGGGAUUCUCGAUCACGGCUUGUGAUAAAGUAGUGUUGACUCGAGCGAUGCAGUGCCUUGGACUGCCUGGCCACUCAGGAGCAAAUGUGACUGCAUUAUAAGUAUGCUUGCUUUAUAUUCUCUAAAGGCAUGUAAUGUGAUCUUAGUGGUGAAUACUUGGCUGAUGACUAGAGUUGUGUGUUGGCCUUAUGCUUCGAACACACCAACCGAAACAUUGCAUUUAGGUAUACCAGAAUAUCAUUCACAAUGAAACGCGUUUGAUUUGUAGUGCGUUCGGUGUGGCGCAUUCGUUCGAUAAUCCAAUAUACGCGUCAAACUGCGUUGACGGCUUGACAUGAAUGGUAGGUGAAUUUGAACUUUUCCCACACCAGUUGCUGCGUACCACGUACCAUUUGCGCGACGUAGCUGUGAUCAAGGAGUUAAAUGUUUGAACAAUUUAAAUUCACUCGAGUGAAUUUUAAAUCAAACGCGCCAUAACGUUAGUCACCAAUAAAAUCAUCACUAUAGCGUCUCACCAUUACUGGAUUGGCUGACUAGCUGUCGGUUACUAGCCGCCACAUGAGGGCAAGGCUAGCGUGGCUAGGCGAGUGCUGCUUGUAAAUAGAAUGUUCUAACGGCCCCCAAUAUCCUUGAGCAUUCAAAUAGCCCCUUGGGGGGGGGGGGGGGGUUGUAGAGGAUGUCUUGCCGGUGUUUAGGGGGUGCCGCUUCCAAUUCGGCGUCACCUCUGCAUUGCUAGCACACGUGACCGGCCUGAAGCGUUUUACCAAACCCAUGAGGUUCCUUAUUGCUUUUUAUAAUCCAGUUACACAUUUUAGCGUCAUACCCGUG